rnacentral:rRNA from 1 species
UACGAAGGGGGCUAGCGUUGUUCGGAAUCACUGGGCGUAAAGGGCGCGUAGGCGGCUAUGCAAGUCAGGCGUGAAAGCCCCGGGCUCAACCCGGGAAUUGCGCUUGAUACUGUGUGGCUUGAGUCCGGGAGAGGAUGGCGGAAUUCCCAGUGUAGAGGUGAAAUUCGUAGAUAUUGGGAAGAACACCGGUGGCGAAGGCGGCCAUCUGGACCGGUACUGACGCUGAGGCGCGAAAGCGUGGGGAGCAAACAGG